AUUGAACGCUGGCGGCAUGCUUUACACAUGCAAGUCGAACGGCAGCGCGGGCUUCGGCCUGGCGGCGAGUGGCGAACGGGUGAGUAAUGCAUCGGAACGUGCCCAGUAGUGGGGGAUAGCCCGGCGAAAGCCGGAUUAAUACCGCAUCCGACCUGAGGGUGAAAGCGGGGGACCGAAAGGCCUCGCGCUAUUGGACCGGCCGAUGUCGGAUUAGCUAGUUGGUGGGGUAAAGGCUUACCAAGGCGACGAUCCGUAGCUGGUCUGAGAGGACGACCAGCCACACUGGGACUGAGACACGGCCCAGACUCCUACGGGAGGCAGCAGUGGGGAAUUUUGGACAAUGGGGGCAACCCUGAUCCAGCCAUGCCGCGUGCGGGAAGAAGGCCUUCGGGUUGUAAACCGCUUUUGUUCGGGAAGAAAUCCUCUGGGCUAAUACCCCGGGGGGAUGACGGUACCGGAAGAAUAAGCACCGGCUAACUACGUG
rnacentral:rRNA from 1 species